rnacentral:ncRNA from 1 species
UUCUUCGGGGCGGGGUGAAAGUCCCCACCGGCGGUAAAAGUCCGCGACCUGCCAGUGUAAAUAAAAGGCAGCUGACCCGGUGAGAUUCCGGGACCGACAGUUACAGUCUGGAUGAGAGAAGAA